GGGGAAAAAUUAAUAAAAUAAUAAAUAAAAAAAAAAUUUUUAGGGGGUAAAAGUUUAAGUAUUUAUUUAGAAAUAAUAAAAAAUUUUAUAGUUAAUUAGUAUCGAGAGAGGAAUUUUAAAUAGUUGAAAAUAAAAUAAGUUUAAAGUAGUUUUUAUUUAAUGUAUCUUGUGUAUCAGAGUUUAUUAAAAAUAUUUUUUAAUUAAAAAUUUCUCGAAUUUAAAAGAGUUAAUUAAUUAAAAAAGUUAUUGUAUUAAAAAUAUUUUUAAUAAUUAAUUUGAAAUGAAAUGUUAAUCGUUUUUAAAUAUAUCUAGUUUUUUAAGAAAAAAAUUAAAUUUUAAAUUUAUAGAUUGGUUAAUUUAAUUUUAAUAUUUUUUUUUAAUUAAAUAUUAAAAAUUUAAAUUUAAUAUUUUAAGGGAUAAGCUUUAAAUUAAAUAUUUAUAAAAUUUAAUAUAAAAUAAAAAUUUUAAGAUUUAUAUUGUUUAAAAAUUUUAUUUUAUUAAAAAUAAUUUUAAGAUAAAUUAAAAUUUAAAAAUUUUUUAAUUUUUUAUUAAAAAAUAAAUUUAAAUAUUUAUAAAUUUAGUUAUAAUGAUAAAAUUAGUAUAAUAAAUAAUAAAUUAUUAAAAGUUAAUUUUAAAAUUUAAUUAAUAGGAAUUCGGCAAAAUCUUAUGUUCACUUGUUUAUCAAAAACAUGUCUUUUUGUAUAUAAUUUAAAGUCUAAUCUGCCCACUGAUAUAUUAUUAAAGGGCUGCAGUAUUUUGACUGUACAAAGGUAGCAUAAUCAUUAGUCUCUUAAUUGGUGACUUGUAUGAAAGAUUGGAUGAAAUAUAAACUGUCUUUUAAUUAUAGUUUGAAUUUAAUUUUUUAGUUAAAAAGCUAAAAUAAGGUUAAAAGACGAGAAGACCCUAUAGAGUUUUAUAAUUUUUUUUAAUUGAAAUUAUUUGUUAUAUAAAAAUUAAAAUUAAUGUAAUUAUUUUAUUGGGGUGAUAGAAAAAUUAAAGUAACUUUUUUUAAAUUUAAACAAUAAUAAAUGAAUUUAAGAAUUAGAAUUUUUAAUUGUAAGAUAAAUUACCUUAGGGAUAACAGCGUUAUUUUUAUUUUUAGUUCAAAUAAAAAUAAAAGUUUGCGACCUCGAUGUUGGAUUAAGAUAAAAUUUAAAUGCAAAAGUUUAAAAUUUUGAUCUGUUCGAUCAUUAAAAUCUUACAUGAUCUGAGUUCAAACCGGUGUGAGCCAGGUUGGUUUCUAUCUUUAAUUAAAGAUGAAUACUUUAGUACGAAAGGAUUAAGUAUUUAAAAUAAUUUUUAUAAUUUGAAUGUUAAUAAAUUAAUUUAGUAAUAUUGAAGAUAUU
rnacentral:rRNA from 1 species